UUACAGCAGAAAGCAAGUCCUAUCGAGCUAUGAAUACAAUGAAGUAUGUAAACUUGUCACCAAUGGACGUGUUCUUUACGCAAGACGCUAUAUCGUUCAGGUUUAAGAAUGGUCGGUGGAUUGAAUCACUGGUAGUAGAUCUAGCAUCAGGUUUACAGUGUAUUGAACACAUUCCUCCUAUCAAAGUUUACUAUCACAACCAGUCCGGGGUCUGGAAGUCACUGGACAACAGACGACUCUACGUCUUCAGGAGGUUGUGUCAGAUGGGAUACUUUGAUCAGAUCAGAUGUCAGGACUUAACUUUCUGGAAGGACUCGGAUAGAGCAGCUGAGAGAGAAGUAGCACGAGGUUUGAUAAGUCAUGUCAAGGUUGUAAAAUGGGUAAGAUAAAGAAGAAGUCAGAUAGCGGUAAGAAAAUAGUAUACUUGAGUCCGGGUAAUAUCCGGUAUACCAACGAGACUUUCUCUGCAAGAUUUAGAGAUGGAAGAACAGUGGAAUCCAGUAUUAGCGAAGUUAUCAACGGUGAUACUGAACUUGAGGAUAUUCCUCUUAUCGAGGUGGUACGGAACCCCACAAAUAACACGUGGUGGUCGCUGGACAACCGGCGACUCUUCGUCUUCAGGACCUUGUUCGAGGAGGACUGUCUUGAGUCUGUUCCCUGUGACGAUGUCACUGAUAAAGUGGUAUUCCAAAAGCGUUGGGAAAAUCUGAAGAGUGGAGGAAACACUGUUCGUGUCAGACCUUUACAUGUCAGCAGUGAAUGUGAGGUAGAUUAUUUCACUGAUUUUUCUUCUAGAACAACAGAUGUCAUGAGCGAACUGAGGAAGAUUAACUCUACAGCUCUAUCUGAUCUGACGAAUAUUCUUGAUACUCGUAGGCAACUCGAUCAUGUUGACACUUACCAUGAAGACAUUUCUGGUUCUCCGAAUGGUGGUUGUUCGUUUAGUCUUAAUGAGAAGGUGGCCCGCCCUGUCUCCCGCUAUGGAGGAGACCAGGAUAUCAGAGUCCGUCUUGAUAAUACAUCUACUGCUCUAAGAAAGACAAAGCAAAUGGACGACUUAAGCAUUUCCAUUAAAGCCAAGCCCUCUUCUAAACCUGUUUCAUUUUCUCGAAAGCUGUCUGAUUAUAGGAGCUAUUCUCACAGUCUAUCACAGAGCCAUUCUCACUGUCUAUCACGGCGCCAUUCUCACAGUCUAUCGCAGAGCCAUUCUCACAGUCUAUCACGGAAGACUGCAGGAACAAGAAGCAAGAUAGGGCUUAGUAUCACCUUGUUAAGGUGAGACAGUGGAUAACACAAUAUAUGAUUGUUUUUAAUGUUUUUAAAUUUUAUAUUUUUUAUAUUUUUAUAGAAUAUGUUUCGUAAUCUGGCUAUUAUUGUAUUUAAAUGAAUUCUCUCAUAAUGAACAUUUGACUAUCAGCAUCAUUUGUGAUUUUAAUCCUAAUGGUAAUAUUUGAAAUGUGAUGUUAUUUGAUGGAUUAAUUAAUUCAUUAACAAUUGACUGUGACUCUGAUAACUUAUAAAGCUUUUUCAUUUGUUUAUGUAACUGAUAUUAAUCCGAGUCCCGAGAUCACCUUCGGGAUAUUUUAUUCUUGGAGUAGUGAUGUCCUAUUUUAAUGAGAUUUUAAUGAGAUUUUAAUGAGAUUUUAAUGAGAUUUUAAUGAUAUAUUAUUAUUGUUAUAUUAUGUUGUGUUGUUUUGGCGAGAUUACCCUUUCACACCCUUCAGAGGAUCUAACAGUCUACAA